GCGGGGAUGUCAUUCCGGCGGAGGUGAUAUGCCAAUCUCCUGGUGGGGGACAGCUCCCUCAAGCAGGGACCUUCGGCCUUGCGCUUCAUGAGUCGAUGGGAGUAAUGGUCCAAGGAAUCCGGAAGGAUGAUCGCUGAACACGGUCCAACGGGAGGCAGCAGUGGGGAAUAUUGGACAAUGGGCGAAAGCCUGAUCCAGCCAUGCCGCGUGUGUGAAGAAGGUCUUCGGAUUGUAAAGCACUUUAAGUUGGGAGGAAGGGCAGUAAGCGAAUACCUUGCUGUUUUGACGUUACCGACAGAAUAAGCACCGGCUAACUCUGUGCCAGCAGCCGCGGUAAUACAGAGGGUGCAAGCGUUAAUCGGAAUUACUGGGCGUAAAGCGCGCGUAGGUGGUUUGUUAAGUUGGAUGUGAAAGCCCCGGGCUCAACCUGGGAACUGCAUCCAAAACUGGCAAGCUAGAGUACGGUAGAGGGUGGUGGAAUUUCCUGUGUAGCGGUGAAAUGCGUAGAUAUAGGAAGGAACACCAGUGGCGAAGCGACCACCUGGACUGAUACUGACACUGAGUGCGAAAGCGUGGGGAGCAAACAGGAUAGAUACCCUGGUAGUCCACGCCGUAACGAUGUCAACUAGCCUUGGAAUCCUUGAGAUUUUAGUGGCGCACUACGCAUUAAGUUGACCGCCUGGGGAGUACGCCGCAGUUAAAACUCAAAUGAUGACGGGGCCCCCAGCGGUGGACAUGUGGUUUAAUUCAACAACGCGAAAACUUACCUUGACUGCAGAAUUUAAUGAUUGGGCUUGUCUGACCCUGCAGUGUCGCUCGCGUGUGGAUCCUAAGCUGGGGGUGGGGA
rnacentral:rRNA from 1 species